CGACCAGAACACGAUGAAACACCGGUUCUCGAACGGUCAUCGAAGUUAAGCAACGUCGAGCCUGGUCACUACCUAGAUGGAUGACGGCUUGGCAAUACCAGGUGCUGCAA